rnacentral:rRNA from 1 species
AUUGAACGCUGGCGGCAUGCCUUACACAUGCAAGUCGAACGGCAGCACGGGAGCUUGCUCCUGGUGGCGAGUGGCGAACGGGUGAGUAAUACAUCGGAACGUACCCUGAAGUGGGGGAUAACGUAGCGAAAGUUACGCUAAUACCGCAUAUUCUGUGAGCAGGAAAGAGGGGGAUCGCAAGACCUCUUGCUUUUAGGAGCGGCCGAUGUCGGAUUAGCUAGUUGGUGAGGUAAAGGCUCACCAAGGCGACGAUCCGUAGCGGGUCUGAGAGGAUGAUCGCCACACUGGGACUGAGACACGGCCCAGACUCCUACGGGAGGCAGCAGUGGGGAAUUUUGGACAAUGGGCGCAAGCCUGAUCCAGCCAUGCCGCGUG